UUGUGACUGUGGAAUUGGGUGGAUAAAAGCAUGGGACCGAAAGAGACGACAGUAUCUGUGCGACAGCACAUCGAAAUGUAUAUCAACGCGCGAUGACGUUAGAUUUGCAACCUGCCCACUUAUGAUAACAGAACUUUUGCUGACGUCCUGACGCGGGAUUUGGAUUGCGAAUGGAACAAAGGAUUUCUGAGAUCACCAAACUUCUACAUAGUAUUAGGAAUGUCGAUCCUAACGUGCCUGUAUAUAUGAGGACUAUUUUGGCUACUUGGGGUAUACGAAGAGUUCAACCUGAUUUUGGCACGGGUGUAUAAUUUUUAGGGCACUUUGAGGCCUCAAGACGUUUAAUUAGAAAAAAAA